GACGAACGCUGGCGGCGUGCUUAACACAUGCAAGUCGAACGGAAAGGCCCUGCUUUUGUGGGGUGCUCGAGUGGCGAACGGGUGAGUAACACGUGAGUAACCUGCCCUUGACUUUGGGAUAACUUCAGGAAACUGGGGCUAAUACCGGAUAGGAGCUCCUGCUGCAUGGUGGGGGUUGGAAAGUUUCGGCGGUUGGGGAUGGACUCGCGGUUUAUCAGCUUGUUGGUGGGGUAGUGGCUUACCAAGGCUUUGACGGGUAGCCGGCCUGAGAGGGUGACCGGCCACAUUGGGACUGAGAUACGGGCCAGACUCCUACGGGAGGCAGCAGUGGGGAAUAUUGCACAAUGGGCGGAAGCCUGAUGCAGCAACGCCGCGUGCGGGAUGACGGCCUUCGGGUUGUAAACCGCUUUCGCCUGUGACGAAGCGUGAGUGACGGUAAUGGGUAAAGAAGCACCGGCUAACUACGUG
rnacentral:rRNA from 1 species